GAUGAACGCUGGCGGCGUGCCUAAUACAUGCAAGUCGAGCGAAUGGAUUAAGAGCUUGCUCUUAUGAAGUUAGCGGCGGACGGGUGAGUAACACGUGGGUAACCUGCCCAUAAGACUGGGAUAACUCCGGGAAACCGGGGCUAAUACCGGAUAACAUUUUGAACCGCAUGGUUCGAAAUUGAAAGGCGGCUUCGGCUGUCACUUAUGGAUGGACCCGCGUCGCAUUAGCUAGUUGAUGAGGUAACGGCUCGCCAAGGCAACGAUGCGUAGCCGACCUGAGAGGGUGAUCGGCCACACUGGGACUGGGACACGGCCCAGACUCCUACGGGAGGCAGCAGUAGGGAAUCUUCCGCAAUGGACGAAAGUCUGACGGAGCAACGCCGCGUGAGUGAUGAAGGCUUUCGGGUCGUAAAACUCUGUUGUUAGGGAAGAACAAGUGCUAGUUGAAUAAGCUGGCACCUUGACGGUACCUAACCAGAAAGCCACGGCUAACUACGUGCCAGCCGCCGCCGUAA
rnacentral:rRNA from 1 species